rnacentral:tRNA from 1 species
UGGGUUGUGGCUCUGUAGAGCACUUGCCUCUCAUGCAGGAAACCCUGUGUUUGAUCCUCAGCACCACAU